AUCUGCACCCAGUGAGAAGAGGGAAAAAACAAACACUUUAGACACUACAGAGGGUUCAGAGUUGAUCUUCACACCACAGUCCUGACUACACCAAGCAGAGCACAAAGGACGGUUAAGAGCCUGGAUAUUUGGUCGGAGGCAAGUUACUAGCUCCAGAAGAGCAGCAUGGAGGAAUAGGUCUAUACAGCCUAAACUACUCUGCAAUGCACCUGUAGUAAUCCUUCUACUUGCCUUUGAGCGGCAAGGAGUCAGGCAACUGGCAAAUGUACCACAAACCUUUCCCUAGAUAGCCAGGGUGAAAGAACUCAUCCUUCGUUCCCUGAGGAGAUUAGCUUCUUCAUGAGGGAAGACCUAUCCCAGCCAAAGUUUCUUUUCUAGUGAGGCCCCUUCUGCUGAAUAUAGACUGAAUAAAAUUUUCAAAAAUCACUUUUGAAAAUGGGAUUUAAAACCAAUCCAAUUUUCAAAAGUGACUGAGGGCCAGCCCCCUCUCAAGGUAGGUGUUUGGAAGGCCAGGGAUACACUUCUUAAAAGAAUAAAUUGUAUUUCUUUUCCAGGUAGUUCAGUGCUGUUGGAAGGUGUUGGCUUCACAGUCCUGGAGACAGAAGUUCUGGUUAAAUGCAGAACAGAUACAGGCAAUGAAGGCUUCCCUUUAUGGUCCCACCAUUACGUAUCCACCCUGAUGUAGAAGGACCAGCUCCGGCAGCAAGUGGGAGGAAAAGAUAGUCCAGUCUCCAACACCCAUUUUGUCUUUGGCUUCUUUGCCAAGUUAUUUGUAGGAGGUUUCUUUGAGAUACAGACUGGAAGUAACAGUUCAUUUCACAUACACUUUGAACAGUCCCUGAUGGUUUUAAAUAUAGAAGAUAUUUGUUUCUACUGACUCAAACAGACUUGUUAGUUUUGAUGAAAGGACAUUCUACCCUGAGCUUCACCACACACAGGUACUGCCAUAUGGCUCAGAAGCAUGCUUUAUGCUAAAGACAAUUACAUUAGUUACCAAUGACACAAAUAACCCACUCAAGACAUAUCCUCUCUUCUGAUUUGAAAUUAAAAGGGCUUAGGAUUUCAUGUUCUGUAGUCAGAAAAAAAAAAAAAAUUCAGUAGCUCCAGAAGCCUGAUAAAGCGUCUUUAUUAGUACUCAGGUGGAGUAUUUCCAUUUAUUCUUGGAAAUUCCACAGGAAAGGUUGUUUAUAAAGCACUUUUAUUUCCAGGGUGGUCUAGAGGAAUGAACAAAGAAGUGUGAGACAAAUUCCUGAGCUCUAACCCCUGCGUGCUAACGACUCACUAAGUACUCUUAGACAAGUUGACCUGACUUUUAGAAAAAAUGAGGACCAUGCUAAUUAGUUAUUCUGAAAGGGGGUUGAAUGGGUUAAUGCUUUUGAACAAGCAAAAGGCAAAAUACCAUCUUCAAAGAGCUUUAUGAACAUUUGCUCAUUAAGCAUUACAAUAUCCCAUUCCAGGAACUACAGUCAAGCAAUAAGAUUUUAAAUAAGACCUCUUGCUCCAACCCAUCACAACCGGAAAUGUUUUCUAGCAGGUUUCUUACGAUGUUAUACUAGUUGGCUUUUUAUCAGUUGUGCUAGUUUAUUGAUAUUUUAUUAUUACAUUUACUUUAAAUUGCAGCACCUAAGUCAGCAAAUGGAGAACUUUAUUAAUAAGAUCAGAGUAUUACUAUCAUUGUCACGCUAACUAUUGUUAUUUCAAACCUCGCAAGCCUGGGCAAGUACCCAUUAACUACAUGCAGUCCUGGCCCUUAAUUCCACUUCUUCUGCAGGGACCAUUUUCUUUUAAAAUAGGAACUCAAUGUUAUUAAAUGGAAUUCACUGAAACCCUCCAGAUGAGGAGUCUAAUUUUAAGGUUCUAAGUUCUGUAGCCUGCUAGAAUUUCCUAUUUCUAUUGAUGCAAACAGAAGCUUGAAGGAGUAACGCAAACUACAGGAUAACAAAGCAGCUAGACUUGGCUAUUUGGUAAACUGAAUUCAACAAACCCUGCUUAUUUUCUUACCGAGAAGCUUUUUCCAGGACUUGAUAAGUGAUUUGGAAAGCGAUAUCACUUCAUCAUCAGUGCUCUGCUUCCUCAGCGCAUUCACCGACAUCCCAAUCCGGGUGGACUGCAAACCAACAUUCAAGAAGUGAAUCACUCAAAAACUGACUACUUAGCCAUUGGCACUAAAAUUAGAGAAAAACAGGUCUCCACCACAAGACACAGCAACAUUGACCAAGGUGUACAAAUCCCUGGAUACAGGGACAGCUGCUUGAUGCUUCUACAGAAGAGCAGCUACCAACAAGUUGGCUUCUUCGGUGAGUCCUGAAUAUCUGGCUUACAUAGCAUAUGGCUCUCUCUUGGUGGAAUCCAUCUCCCAUGACACCUUUUCCCCUUCCUAACCACCUAGAAGCAAUAUAUAUAUUACUCAAAACUGAACAGGAUUUGAAAGAAAAUCCCUCAGAGUCUUAGAAAUCUAAAAACAGGGCCAAAAUUAUAAACAGAUGCACAGCUGUAACGCACAAUGCUUCAAGCCUUUAAACCACAACCACUAUUUGAAAAGGAUUUUCUUUUAAAAGGACGUUCAGCACCUUAAUUGUAACCGAAGCCCGUAAGGAAUGUUUUUAAGUUUCAGCAUAUUAUUAAAGCCCUUAACUUUUAUUAACUAUUUAACCUAGUUCUAAAAACCAGACUGGAGUUGCCCCCCACCCAGAGAGUUUUCCCUAGAAUCUCAUCCCGAUGGAACAUGCCCCCCAACUUUUAUGGACUCCAUCAACUUCAUCAGUUUGGUGGGCCCUAGGUUGUGCUUCCACUCAAGCUCUGCUUCAGUCCCCGUCUCCCCACUUAAAACAUACCUUGAUGCUCUCGUUUGUUAGUAGCUUUACAAAAGCUUUUCAAAAAAUAUGGUUGCUGCUGGCCUCACAUUUGCUCCUUCCCUAAUCUAUUUUCCUCUUCUUUAAUCUGAUCCCUCCAUUGGUUUUGUAAAGCGUGGGCUUUUCACUUCAUGUUUACAAAUGGAAUUUUGAAUUUCUUCUGAUUAUAGUAAUGAAUAGUACCCCAGGCACCUCUGUUGGUGAGGCUUUAUAAAAAUAACAUUGCAUAGCAUUCUUUGAUGUUUUUGGGAAGAGGGGACAAAUGGCAGGGGAGACUGGCUUAAUCUCAUUCCAGAAAAAUCAGCAUUUAUUCCACCUACAUCUAGAUUUUAGUUUUCCUUGCCUUAGUUGCAUGAUUUACCUGCAACAGGUCCAGAGUUAUAGGCAUACUUUUCAGUUCCUUCAGCAAAUCCAUCGCACCAUCCUGUGAAAGAAGUGGGGAGGGGAGGAAAUCUA